UAUCGCAUUUUGCAACCGAACUCUUCAUAUGUAUGUGUGUGUUAUGACUGUAUGACUGCAGAAGAGAACUGCUCUGUUCCCACAACUCAGUUUUUCUGGGACUUGAAAACAGACGCUCAGCAGAUUUUAAAGGGGGGAAUCUUGAUCAAAUCGUGGGUUUACACACAAACAUGUAAUACAGUGCCAGAUUUUCUGGAUGUUAUAUACACAUUUGUAUUUGCAAACAUAUACCAUAUUGUUUUAAAUGAUGUAUUUUUGUGUGGGUUUUUACAUUCAGAGAAAGUUACAGUGGAUCGUGAUUUUGGAGGAGGUGAAGUCCAAUCUAAAAGAGUCCCCUCAAGUAUCAUCACCAUGGUACAGUGUCUGUGAAGAUAGUGAUGCAGACCCAGCAUUCACAAAAAAGAGAGGUCCCAUAAAGAGAAGAUCCUGGAGCAAACAGGAAGUACAUGCUGUGGUGAAAGCUGAACCAUUGGCUCUAAAAACCAGAGAUUGGUCAGCUUUGGAUUUUUAUAUUAAAAACUGAAUCUCGGCUCUUUAGAUAAAAAAUCUGAAUAACACUUUUAUAACUCAAAGGAAGAUAACUUAGAUGAAGUGCAAGAACUCCUCAUCCUCCAUAGACAGCAAGGGAUUGAAACAAUUUGAAGGAGAGGAAUUAAUAAAAGAAUCUUCAUUUUGAGGUGAACUAACCGUUUAAUAUUAUUUGCUAUUGCACUUAACUAAAUGUGCACGCAGACAUGGAAGAGUUAUGUGGAAGCUUGUUAUACCCAAUGAGAACUGCUUUUAGACAAGCAAGAGAGUUUCAUGGAUUUUGUGUUUACUGCUUUUUUUUGUGUUUAAAGGUUUUGUGGAAAUUAUUUAUAAUAAAUAUAACAUUUAUUAAAUCUA